AGUGAACGCUGGCGGUAGGCCUAACACAUGCAAGUCGAACGGCAGCACAGUAAGAGCUUGCUCUUACGGGUGGCGAGUGGCGGACGGGUGAGGAAUACAUCGGAAUCUACUUUUUCGUGGGGGAUAACGUAAGGAAACUUACGCUAAUACCGCAUACGACCUACGGGUGAAAGCAGGGGAUCUUCGGACCUUGCGCGAUUGAAUGAGCCGAUGUCGGAUUAGCUAGUUGGCGGGGUAAAGGCCCACCAAGGCGACGAUCCGUAGCUGGUCUGAGAGGAUGAUCGGCCACACUGGAACUGAGACACGGUCCAGACUCCUACGGGAGGCAGCAGUGGGGAAUAUUGGACAAUGGGCGCAAGCCUGAUCCAGCCAUACCGCGUGGGUGAAGAAGGCCUUCGGGUUGUAAAGCCCUUUUGUUGGGAAAGAAAAGCAGCAGGCUAAUACCCCGCUGUUCUGACGGUACCCAAAGAAUAAGCACCGGCUAACUUCGUG
rnacentral:rRNA from 1 species